rnacentral:tRNA from 1 species
GAGUUGGUAGAUCAGUGGUAGAGUGCAUGGAUUGUAUGUAUGAUGUCCUGGGUUCAAUCCUAGCCUGCCA